rnacentral:misc_RNA from 1 species
UUUACAGACGAAACAUCUGGUCAAAAGUCAAACCUUUUCUCUUUCACUUUCCUUCUCCCGUCAUCUACUUCUGACCAAAACCCCUCUACCUAUCCCCAAACCUUAUACCCCUCAUUUUCUCAAAUGGGUAUUUCUUAAAAUUUCCAUUUUUUGUACUUUUUUUCAGCUCAAAAAACCAACCAGAAAGGCUCAAGCUACGACGUUUUUGAGCUGAUGGAUGAAGAAUUCGAGAGGAAGAGGAUUGAAGUUAAGGCUAUGGAAGCUUUGGGCUGUGGGUUUGAUUUUGCUAGCGAUUUCAGGUUGAAGUUCGUAAAAAGAUGUCCAAACGGGGGUAGAUUGGUAAUUUUGGAUGAGAGUAAUAGACGGAACGUCGUCAUCCCCGGCGGCGUUACAAUUCCCGAUGUAUCUGAAAAUAUCCGAUGUGAUAAAGGGGACCACAUUCGUUUCAAGUCUGAUGUUCUCGAAUUUAAUCAGAUGUCAGAAUUGCUAAAUCAAAAAUCAUCAAUACAUGGAAAGGUUCCAUCAGGCUAUCUAAAUGCCAUUUUUGAUUUAAGUGGAGCCUGGUUGAAUGAUUCAGCAGAUGCUAAGUACCUCGCGUUUGAUGGUUAUUUUGUCUCGUUAUACUAUUUGCACCUGACAGCAUCCCCAUUAGUACUCCAUGACCAAGUGAAGAAAGCUGUUCCACCGCAUUGGGAUCCAGCAUCCUUAUCCAGAUUUAUUCAGGCUUAUGGGACACACAUAAUUGUGGGUAUGGGUGUUGGAGGCCAGGACCUACUUUGUGUUAAGCAGAAACCAUCUUCAACAGUUCCUCCUGCUGAGCUAAAAGCACACUUGGAUGACCUCGGAGAUUGUCUCUUUUCUGAUGAAGCAAGCCCUCUGCCUGAGUGGAAGGCAAAAGAGGGUAAAAAGAAGGUCCCCGAGGUAUUCAAUCGCAUGUUGCAGUCGCAUACCAUGCAAUUUACUAGCAUAACAGAGACAUCAAGCAAGGAUGGUCUCACUAUAAUUUGGUCAAAAAGAGGUGGUGAUGUGUUUGCACAAAGCCACUCGAAGUGGCUUCAGACUGUGGCUGCUUACCCUGAUGGCAUACUCUUCAAACUUGUACCGAUUACUUCGCUCUUAACAGGAAUACCAGGAAGCGGUUAUCUCAGCCAUGCAAUAAAUUUAUAUCUACGCUAUAAGCCUGCUCUAGAGGAUUUACAGUGUUUCCUCGAGUUUCAAGUUCCUAGCCAGUGGGCGCCAUUGUUCUGCGAGCUGCCUCUUAGCCAUCAAAGAAAAGUGGCAUCUUGCCCUGCAUUGCAGUUCUGUUUAUUCGGCCCAAAGCUUUGUGUGAGACCUACCCAGGUUACAAGUGGUCAAAAACCCGUCAUUGGUUUGCGCUUGUAUUUAGAAGGGAAGAAAUGCAACCACUUAGCCAUACAUGUACAACAUCUUUCUAGUUUACCAAACAUUAUGGCAUCUAAGUCUGUUAAUAACCUAACCUUAUGCAAGCCAUGUCAAUGGCGAGGCUCCGAUGAUUAUGAAUCUAGCGACCAAUUCUUAGAUCCUGUCAGAUGGCCGAGAUAUUCCAACGUGUGCUCAUCUGUAGUUAAGCAUGAUCCAAGCUGGAUGCAGGGCGAAACGAGUGGCGUCUUUGUGGUAACUGGUGCACACCUUGUC